ACUGGUCAGCAGAAUCCUGAAGAGCACAGACAGGCAUGGACAGACUGCACACACCAUGUAGUGCUAAUUCCACAGCUCUAUUAUGCAUGUCUAACACUGACAAAACCCACAGUGAGUGGGAUAGAUGUGCACUGUUAAUCACAACAAUUUUACCUGCUUUUCUAUUUAGGCUAAACCAGGCUGUGACUGACAAUGCCUGGCUGUACCAGCAACUGUGGUUUCUAAACUCCUGUUUCUUCACUUAGACACCCUUACUCACAUCAGUAAAGUGACUCUGGUUUUGCUCAUCAGGCAUAUGAGGAUGGUUUCCUGGCUCUGAGGGAUACCAAGAUGGUCUCAGACCUGGUGGGGCUGCAAAGAAAACCAAGAAAAGCAUGAAAAUCACUCAGGCAAUUCUUGGUCAACAUAGUUCUAACAUCAAAAACAUGGAACUUAGAGAUAUGAACAGAACAAACAUUUUGCUUGAUGGAUUUGCAACUAAGUUGAUGACUAUUACAGAAAAGAAAAGAAAAUCUAUUAUAAAAUCUAAGAUGUGCAUCUGAAUUGAAAGGGAUCGACCUGUCAUAUUACAAUAUAAUCCUUCAUGUCUCCUCUGAAGAACACACUGAACACAGAACUCAAUGAAAUUGCCAUUAAGAUCCACCCUACCCGCCCGGCACCAAACAAGCUGCGGACACAGAGCACUGGUUGGUGGAUAUCCACUGGACAUUCUUAGUUUUCAAGUAAUUAAUAACGUUUUCUGUGGAAUUUCUCCCUGAGGACAGUUUUUUUUUUUUUUACAGUGUCUGCCUCUUGUUUACACCUCAUUGAAAACAUGACUCACUCAUGACUAGUGUUCCCACACAAUAUUUUACUGUUUGAAUUUCCACAGCAGUAAAAAACAGCAGAAUUCAA